rfam:Ictidomys tridecemlineatus contig106978, whole genome shotgun sequence.
AGGGCUGUAGCUCAGUGGUAGAGUGCUCUCCUAGCAUGUGUGAGGCACUGGGUUCAAUCCUCAGCACCACUU